rnacentral:rRNA from 1 species
UACGUAGGGUGCGAGCGUUAAUCGGAAUUACUGGGCGUAAAGCGUGCGCAGGCGGUUCGUUGUGUCGGUGGUGAAAUCCCCGGGCUUAACCUGGGAAUGGCCAUGGAAACUGGCGAACUGGAGUGCGGCAGAGGGGGGUGGAAUUCCGCGUGUAGCAGUGAAAUGCGCAGAUAUCAGGAGGAACACCGGUGGCGAAGGCGGGUCUCUGGGCCGAUACUGACGCUGAGGAGCGAAAGCGUGGGGAGCGAACAGG